GACGAACGCUGGCGGCGUGCUUAACACAUGCAAGUCGAACGGAAAGGCCUCUUUCGGGGGGUACUCGAGUGGCGAACGGGUGAGUAAUGCGUAGGUAACCUGCCCUUUGCGUUGGGAUAACUUCAGGAAACUGCGCCUAUUACCGGAUAGACGCUCGUGCUGCAUGGGGGGGGUUUGAGAGUUUCGGCGGUCGGGGGUGGGCUGGCGGGUUAUCCGCUUGUUGGUGGGGUGGUGGCUUACCAAGGCCUUUACGGGUAGCCGGACUGAGAGGGUGACCGGCCACAUUGGGUCUGAGAUAAGGCCCAGGCUGCUAAGAGAGGCCGCAGUGGGGAAUAUUGCACAAGGGGUGGAGGGCGGAUGAAGAAGGGCCGUGUGCGGUAUAACGGUCUUGGUGGUGUAGACCGCCUUCGCGCAUAAAGAAGCACUGUGUGACGGUAGUGGGUAAAGAAGCACCGGCUAACUACGUG
rnacentral:rRNA from 1 species